rnacentral:rRNA from 1 species
GAUAAGGAGCUUGCUCCUUUGACGUUAGCGGCGGACGGGUGAGUAACACGUGGGUAACCUACCUAUAAGACUGGGAUAACUUCGGGAAACCGGAGCUAAUACCGGAUAACAUUUGGAACCGCAUGGUUCUAAAGUGAAAGAUGGUUUUGCUAUCACUUAUAGAUGGACCCGCGCCGUAUUAGCUAGUUGGUAAGGUAACGGCUUACCAAGGCGACGAUACGUAGCCGACCUGAGAGGGUGAUCGGCCACACUGGAACUGAGACACGGUCCAGACUCCUACGGGAGGCAGCAGUAGGGAAU